ACGAACGCUGGCGGCACGCUUAACACAUGCAAGUCGAACGAGAGAAGAGGAGCUUGCUUUUCUGAUCUAGUGGCGGACGGGUGAGUAACACGUGAGCAAUCUGCCUUUCAGAGGGGGAUACCGAUUGGAAACGAUCGUUAAUACCGCAUAACAUAAUUGAACCGCAUGAUUUGAUUAUCAAAGAUUUAUCGCUGAAAGAUGAGCUCGCGUCUGAUUAGCUAGUUGGUAAGGUAACGGCUUACCAAGGCGACGAUCAGUAGCCGGACUGAGAGGUUGAUCGGCCACAUUGGGACUGAGACACGGCCCAGACUCCUACGGGAGGCAGCAGUGGGGAAUAUUGCACAAUGGAGGAAACUCUGAUGCAGCGAUGCCGCGUGAGGGAAGAAGGUUUUAGGAUUGUAAACCUCUGUCUUCAGGGACGAAAAAUGACGGUACCUGAGGAGGAAGCUCCGGCUAACUACGUGCCAGCAGCCGCGGUAAUACGUAGGGAGCGAGCGUUGUCCGGAAUUACUGGGUGUAAAGGGAGCGUAGGCGGGAUCGCAAGUCAGAUGUGAAAACUAUGGGCUUAACCCAUAAACUGCAUUUGAAACUGUGGUUCUUGAGUGAAGUAGAGGUAAGCGGAAUUCCUAGUGUAGCGGUGAAAUGCGUAGAUAUUAGGAGGAACAUCAGUGGCGAAGGCGGCUUACUGGGCUUUAACUGACGCUGAGGCUCGAAAGCGUGGGGAGCAAACAGGAUUAGAUACCCUGGUAGUCCACGCCGUAAACGAUGAUUACUAGGUGUGGGGGGACUGACCCCUUCCGUGCCGCAGCAAACGCAAUAAGUAAUCCACCUGGGGAGUACGACCGCAAGGUUGAAACUCAAAGGAAUUGACGGGGGCCCGCACAAGCAGUGGAGUAUGUGGAUUAAUUCGAAGCAACGCGAAGAACCUUACCAGGUCUUGACAUCGUAUGCAUAGCUCAGAGAUGAGUGAAAUCUCUUCGGAGACAUAUAGACAGGUGGUGCAUGGUUGUCGUCAGCUCGUGUCGUGAGAUGUUGGGUUAAGUCCCGCAACGAGCGCAACCCUUACUGUUAGUUGCUACGCAAGAGCACUCUAGCAGGACUGCCGUUGACAAAACGGAGGAAGGUGGGGAUGACGUCAAAUCAUCAUGCCCCUUAUGACCUGGGCCUCACACGUACUACAAUGGCUGUCAACAGAGGGAAGCAAAGCCGCGAGGUGGAGCAAACCCCUAAAAGCAGUCUUAGUUCGGAUUGUAGGCUGCAACCCGCCUACAAGAAGUCGGAAUUGCUAGUAAUCGCAGAUCAGCAUGCUGCGGUGAAUACGUUCCCGGGCCUUGUACACACCGCCCGUCACGCCAUGGGAGUCGGUAACACCCGAAGCCUGUAGUCUAACCGCAAGGAGGACGCAGUCGAAGGUGGGAUUGAUGACUGGGGUG
rnacentral:rRNA from 1 species